UUAAACCGAAAUAGUAUUUGGUUCAAUUUUUAUUAUAAUUAUAUUCAUAUUCUUUAAAAUUAAAAAGAAAAUUGUCAGGCAAGGGUGUAUGCAGGUUUUCUACGCAGGUUCUGACAUCGGGUGGACGGCACCGCCGCCUGGGUAUGGAAAUGCAAUGUCGAUGGCACCAUUUUUUAUACAAGCGGGAGGACAAGAUGUGGUGCUGUUGCCAGAGAUUCAGAUGGCCGAGUACUGGUAGUUCUCUCAGGCAAACUUCAUGGCUGCAGGACCCCUCAUCUAGUGGAGCUAUUGGGAUGCCCAAAUAUCUUGAAUUAUAUUCUCUCUCAUUUUUUGGGUCCGGACAUAGUCAAAAUAGAUGCAUUGAAUGUGCAAAAGGCGUUUACGACGAAUGAGGAAGAUUGCUUUAAAUUUGGCUUCAUAGUUGAAGAUUGUAAAACUCUAUUGACACUUUGACCUGAUAUUUCAAUAAGCUGAGUUAAAAGACAAUGUAAUCAGAUUGGCCACUGCACUAGCUGCAUGUGAGUAUCCGGAGUUUCAUGUUUGGGACAGUCUCCCACCACAUAUUGCUGUUAUUUGAAUGAAUGACUUCAAAAAAAAAAAGGUAAAAACAAGUCUUUUCCUCCGGGUAGGUAAAAAUUCAGACGGGCUAAACUGGCCAAGAUCUAGAGUCACUAUUGACCUGGCCUGACCUAUACAUCGGGCCAAGAUUUACGGUCCAUGUAUCAAACUGGCGUACCCAUAUAAGUGAUGGGCUCAAAUUGGAUCAGGCCCAAAAGUUUUUAAUAUAAAAUUUUCUGUAAUACAUUGUAUUAAUUUAAUGGACUGGACUAUUGAGCCUAUACCAAAAUGGUGGACCAGGCCCAAUACUCAGGUAAAUGGGCCUCAAACUUUCGGCCCAAAGCAAUGUUAAAAUGAAAUUGGCUUAAUGGGAACGAAAGCAAGUGGAAAUUUAAGGGUGACG
rnacentral:lncRNA from 1 species